CACGUAGGGUGCGAGGCGUUGUCCGGAAUUAUUGGGCGUAAAGGAGCUCGUAGGCGGUGUGUCGCGUCGGCCGUGAAAACCUGCAGCUUAACUGUGGGCUUGCGGUCGAUACGGGCAUCACUGGAGUUCGGCAGGGGAGACUGGAAUUCCUGGUGUAGCGGUGAAAUGCGUAGAUAUCAAGAGGAACACCUGCGGCGAAGGCGGGUUGCUGGGCCGUAACUGACGCUGAGGAGCGAAAGCAUGGGGAGCGAACAGG
rnacentral:rRNA from 1 species